UCUACGUGUGUAUGUGUACAUGAUUUCCCGCCAAAAUGACCGUUUUACAGCUAUGGAAAAAAUAGUCCACAAACGUUCCGUAUAAUGAUAUCAAAUUCAUAAUUAAUCGUAACUUUUUUUUAUCUUUGUAUAAUAAAUAUAACAAAAUGGAUUCCACAAAAUUGAAAAUAGCAUUAUUUUACGAGGAUUUCUCAUAUUUUUCUCACUUCCGGCGCAGUAAUACGUAUGUUUCGAAGAAGCUCGAAGAAUUUGACAAAGUGAAUUGAGAAGGAAACGGAUAGAUUUACGUCCUUGCUAUCAGGGCACAAACCCACUUUAAAGACACUUGUCUACUGCCAUACCCAUCCUAAUUUCAUGCACCAUUUGCAAGCAAGAGACUGAAUGGUUUGCAAAAUUAAAAAUCAGGACGGUGUCCAAUUAAAACAAAAGAACUAAACUGGAUGAAUAUUGUAGGAGAAAUCUAGAGGAAAGUUUUGAUUUGUGAAAUUGGUUUUCCUGAAAAGCCAUUCAUCCUAGCCUGCAGAAAGGAACUAUAACUGUCCACCACCAACUGACGAGCUAAUGUUGAGCUUCACAUAUGGAAUUAAUCAAAUACCAUCAACGUUUGUGUUUUCAGCACAGAUUUCACAAGUUAUGACACAGCUGUGUUUUUUUAUACCUGUUUAUAGAGUUGUAUACUAAAUUUUAUUUUUUUUAUCAAUAAAUAUAUAUUGUGUCA